rnacentral:rRNA from 1 species
UACGAAGGGGGCUAGCGUUGCUCGGAAUCACUGGGCGUAAAGCGCACGUAGGCGGCUUUUUAAGUCAGGGGUGAAAUCCUGGAGCUCAACUCCAGAACUGCCUUUGAUACUGAGAGCUUGAGUCCGGGAGAGUGAGUGGAACUGCGAGUGUAGAGGUGAAAUUCGUAGAUAUUCGCAAGAACACCAGUGGCGAAGGCGGCUCACUGGCCCGGUACUGACGCUGAGGUGCGAAAGCGUGGGGAGCAAACAGG